GACGAACGCUGGCGGCGUGCUUAACACAUGCAAGUCGAACGGACUACUUUGCUUCGGUAAGGUGGUUAGUGGCGAACGGGUGAGUGACGCGUAGACAACCUACCUCUUAGAUGGGGACAACAUCGCGAAAGCGGUGCUAAUACCGAAUGAAGUGGCUUUCCUGCAUGGGAGAGAUACUAAAGGUGGCCUCUAUUUAUAAGCUACCACUGAGAGAUGGGUCUGCGUCUGAUUAGCUAGUUGGCGGGGUAACGGCCCACCAAGGCGACGAUCAGUAGCCGGUCUGAGAGGAUGAACGGCCACAUUGGGACUGAGACACGGCCCAAACUCCUACGGGAGGCAGCAGUGGGGAAUCUUCCGCAAUGGACGAAAGUCUGACGGAGCAACGCCGCGUGAGUGAAGAAGGUUUUCGGAUCGUAAAGCUCUGUUGCUUGAGACGAAUGUGCCUGUUUCGAAUAGGGAUAGGUAAUGACGGUAUUAAACGAGAAAGCCACGGCUAACUACGUGCCAGCCGCCGCCGUAA
rnacentral:rRNA from 1 species